CAUGUUCCAUACCUCCUUUCUGGCUGAAAAUGAGCUGUUAUGUCUGAAUGUCAGAAAUCCACACGACUGAAAAAGCAUCGUAUACAUCUUUCUGUGGAAAAGUUCCAUCUCUGCCAUCAAAUCAGUAGUUGUGAACUCAGGGAAUCAAUAUUUUUGAAUGUUGGAAAGUAAUUCCUUUCUAUAUUGUGUUUUGUAGCACCCAAAAUAAUUUUUCUGUCUUUCCUUUAGGUUUUGGCUUAAAUCUUUUAAAUAAUUCUUUACAGCUAACAUUGAUUUGGUGUCAAAACCUUACAUAUUCAAGAAACACUGUGAAUGCUAUUAAAGCCAGAAAAUGAUGAUUCAAAGCAGUUUGGAAAUUAUUUGAGAUGAAGAAAUUGAGUCAAUAAAGAGGUUGAGUAACUUGCUUAAAUCCUCAUCGAUGGUAAGUGAGAUACACAGGGCUUGAGCCCUCCUAUUCUUAUUCCAGACUGUAUCAUUAACAAUGCCACCAGGACCAUCCUACCUCUGGACCACACGGUCUCUUCCAGGACCAUCCUUCCUACCUCUGGACGAUCUUCUGGAAGUCACCAGGGUCUCAGCAGACAGGGUCUCUGGCCUCCUACUUCUGCUUUGCCCUUCUUGCAACCUAGCUCCUCUUAAUAGUUCUGAUUCCCUCUAGGUCUGUCUGCUUCCCUCACCAAAAACUCAUUGAUCCUUCCAUCCAUGAAUAUUUCUGAACUAUGCCCAUUUGCUUACACUCUCCUUUCUCAUAACCUCAGCACUUCUUCAUGCCUUUGCUUAACAUCAUGGCUUCUCUCUGUAAAUCCUGUCAGUUUCGAUUCUUGCCACUAGCUCCCUGAAUUUUUCAGGCUUCCAGCUAGAGUCUGUCAGACUCUUCGAAGUAGUUCAGAUUUAGGCACCUGCCAGGUCAUAAUUCUUGGCUGCCUCAUAGGUCACCUGUGUUGAGCCUGGUGACCAACGGCAGGAUCCUCCGUGGCCAAGGUAGCCAAGCCUUAUGGUGGAAUCAGUGUUGCCUAAGGAUUCUCGGCGUUAAAUGCUGGAUUAUGGCUGUUUGCUUAGAAAAGGUUAUGGACAUGGCAGGAAUCCCAAUUAAUAGCUACAGCAUUAUUGUCUACAGUGAGCUGGGCAUCGCACAAGACACUUAGAAACAUUGGAUAAUGGGAUUUUGAUGCUUCGAGGUGGACAUUAUCACCGUUUCCAUUCUAUAGACAGACACUGAGUCUCUAAACUUGCCCAAUGGUCCAUGAUUAGAAAAUAGCAGAGCAAAUAUUCAGACUCCCUUGACAUUUUUACUCCACUAAACCACAAGUUUCCUUUGCACAUGUUUAUUUUAUUUAAAACCCUCUGCUCCCUUUCUACCUGAAAUAAAUAGAACACUUGAAAGUCACCACUACUGUCAAUAUUAGAGACAUGUCAAAUGCUGUCACUUAGUCAGGAAAGCUGCUUGGAGUAACUGUGUAAUAUUAUACAACAUGACAAGUUCUCAUCCACAGUGCACAUUAAAGCCAGGAGCAUGUGGCUCGUGCAAACCCCAAAGCCAUUAGCUGAAAGACUCAAGAAUUUCCCACCCAACCCAAUAUGAUCUCAGCCCUGGAGAGUAGAGGCCACUCGGAGCGGAGUAAGAAGGGAGUGCUUUUUAACCCCGAGACAUUUGUAGGAUUUCCUGGAGAAGCAGCAACCAUACCAACUCCUUAUGAAUACCCAGUUGCCAUUCCUUUAAGGAGGUAAGUGUUCAAGAGUAGACAGCCCUUCCCUAGAGUACUGGUCCCAUCAAAAAGCAUAUUUAAUACCAACUACUGAUGCCAAGGCUGAAAAAAAAAGAAUAUUACAUUAAGUGGAAAUUUUGUGAAUUUAGUACCAAUUUAAAUCUUGUCUUGCUCUUCUGCCAAUGCUUUAUUUCAACUCACUGCCAAAUAAACUUACACCUAAUUUUAAACUAAUAUUUAAUGUUGGCAAACUCCAAGGACAUAAUUUGUACUGGUAUCAAUGAUACAUUAACCUAAUUAAUUAAAAACUAGCUUAUAAUUAAGAAAACAAAUGAACAAUGGACACUUUUGUGAGGCAAUGGCCUCCAUUUAUUGUCAUUUUUCCCCCCUUUUUUGCUCACUUGCUAAUUCUCAGAUUCAAUAAUCUGCACUGGGUAUCCCAGUCAUUAGUAUGAAUUAGCAGUGCUCCACUGUAAUUCACCAGAGACAGAGUUUUGAUAAAUGGAGGAAGUGUUUUAAUAGAGAUCAGUGUGGUGAAGCCAAAUUACAGGAAAGACUAGGUCCCUUUGGUAACUAGGCUUCCUUUGGUUUCUCUAUCCUGCAUCCCCUGCCAUCUUAUAAAAUACGAAGAUAAAAUAAAUGAAAUCCUUAAAGGGAAAAAAAACCUAAAUCUGAACCUAGGUUUUAAUAAACUUAACAUUAAUAAAGAGUUUGCAUGAUUAGAGUAAGGACUUCUAAUCAAUCCAGACAGAUAAGAUCACAGUCAUAAUUGCAUUGGCUGUUAUUAUUUCCUUUUCAUUUACUUGUACCAAAUGGAAAAUAAAGUCUUGAGAUGUCUACAAAUGGAAAUGAAAAUAAUGGUUUUCAGUGAUAAUUUGAUAGGAAGUAAUUGGCCACCUGAAGAGAAAAACCCUCAUCGUGGAAAUAAUUACAAAUAAUUGGUUACUACAAGAUUGGACUACAUUUGAUACACUCAGUACAAUAAAUACUCUUAACUAAAGAUGCUAACAUGGAGGUUUGAAGGGUGUUAGCAGCCAUGUAAAUUGGCAACAAAAGAACAAUUUAGAGAAAGAGUAGCCAGUGUGAUUUGAUUGGCCAACAAAAUUAUUUUGAAAUCUACUGUAAUCAGCUGUUGAUGCUGAAAGAUGGAUAUUUUACACACAAAUCAGGAUUUAUAGUUUUUCUUUUGGUGUAAACAAAGAGGAAACAUCAUACAACGCCGGGCUUUUGUGGCCACAAUGGCAGCAACGCUCUGGAACUAGAAGAUAGGAGAGCCCAGUGGACCUACCCCAUGCAGCUGGAAGGCAACCUACCCCUUGAAGAUGUUUGUGCUUGUGACUCCAGCUCCAAAUAACAUCCCAUGUUUACAUAAAACUUCUGCAUUUGACAGUAAGUUCGCAUACCUCAACUUACUUUGCAGAAUAAAUACAGUUUAUGGAAAAAUAAACUGAGGCUUUGUUAAAGUGGCUCCCCCAAGGACACAGGUCUGAAGCUGAGGAAGCCAGGACAUGAAUCCAGGUCUUUUGACUCUUAAUCCCCUAACGUUUCAACUGAGCUCUGCUAAGUCUCAUCUGAGAUCAAUUAUGAAACCCAUCAUUGGAGAAAUAUGUUCAUUCAGGUAAAGUAAAUAGCCUUUAUUUGGGCUUAAAGUAUUAGCAUUGGCCUCAGAUGAAAACCGAUUUGUUUCAUGUGAACAAUACUAAAUGGCAAAAAAAUUGGAUAUGGUUCCAAACUCUUACCCAUUUUGAAAUUUCUAGAAAGUUUCUUGGGGCCAUUAGUUUAUUUAGAAAAAUAAUUGGUUUCAAAUGAUCACCCCUAAACAGAGACUAUAGGUAAACCAGUAAGCAUUUGAAAAAUAUAUUCAACCUUACUAAACAGAAAUACAAAUUAAAAAGGUGAGACAAAAAAAAAAAAAAAAGAGUUCCCCUUCAUGGUGUAUUGGAAAUGAAUCCGACUAGGAACCAUGAGGUUGCAGGUUUGAUCCCUGGCCUCGCUCAGUGGGUUAAGGAUCUGGCAUUGCUGUGAGCUGUGGUGUAGAUCGCAGAGGCAGCUGCUCGGAUCUGGUGUUGCUUCAGCUGUGGUGUAGGCCAGCAGCUACAGCUCUGAUUAGACCCCUGGCCUGGGAACCUCCACAUGCACCGGGUGCAGCCCUAAAAAGACAAAAGACAAAAGACAAAAAAAAAAAAAGUGCUUUAAGCAAAAUAACAAUGAUGUAGUUUUAAUUACCUAUUAAAUAGGCAAAUAAUUUAAAAUGAUCAUACCCAUUGUAUCCAAAAGUCCUAGCAAAUUGGUAUAAGAAUACAUUCCAUAUACACUAUACAUUGAAAAUGUGCAAAUAGUUUAAAUUAGAAUAUAAUUACAAGAUUUGGAACUUAAAAUUUGAAGAUACUUAAGGGUAAACACAAAUAUUGAUUUAUUUUAUUAUUAAAAUUUAAAAAAUAACAAUAACACUAGUAAUAAAUUGAAAGCAAGUUAAAUCCAUAAAUAUUGUAUAUCAGAUCAAUUCUCUAAUAUCCAUACACUUGAAUUGCCAUGAAGUCUAUGGUUUUAUAGACUAUUUAAUGCUAUAGAUAUAUGUCCCAAGUAUGUUUUUUCCAAAGUUUCUAAAAAGUAUAUGAAUAUGACCCUAGUUCUCUGCACACACAAAUACCUAGGUUUUAGAAACACAUGGAAGAAUAUACUCUAAUGUGUCAGUCAUGCUUAUAGGGUGAAAGAAAUAUGGAAGAUUUUUUGAUGCUUAUUUAUAAUUUGUUACAAAGACAGUGUAUGCCUUUUGUAAUUGAUAAAAAUAGAAUGGAACACUUUAAAAACCAGCUGAAUAUUAUUAUUUCUUGAUAAAUUUAAUAAAUCCCACAUACAUGACAUGAUCCUACAUUUUUUUGAUUCAAAAAUAUAGGAAUUCUUCAAAACCAAGCUUCUACUACAUCUUGCUUGGACCACUGCAAAAAUUCCUAAUCAGACAUGUUAUUCUUCAGCUUCAAACCCUUCAAUGGCUUUCCAGUGCAUUCAGAAUAAAACCAAAUUGUGUACAUGACCUGGUCCCUUGUCUGCUUCUUUCGUCUUCUUUCACACCACUCUUUCCCUCCAAUCACAAUCACACUAUUUCUUCAACAAACUAAAAAUCUUUCUGCCUUCAGGACAUUGCACCUGCUGUUCGUUCUGCCUGGAAUGUUCUCCCCUUUCUCUCCCUACUCCAGGCUUUUUUGCAUGACUGGCUUUUUCUCACUUUCUGUGUCUCAGCUCAACUGUCACUUCCUGAAUAAGGAGUAGCCAUCUCCUGACAAAAAUCCUCUGUGGCAUCAACCUGUUCUCUUGUCUUUAGAGAUCUUCUCACUGCAUCAUUUUUUUUUCUUGCUUAGUUAUUGUUUCACAGUUACCAUGUACUGAUUAUUUCUAUUGUCUUCAUUUCUUUCUCUCUAAGUGCAAGCAAAGACCUACUUAGUUUGUUCACUCUUAAGGUCUUGAAGCAAAAGAAGGUUUUUGUAUGUUGAAGGUGCUUAAUAAAGACAAGGAAAGUUUGCCUUCCGUUCUUUGCAACUACCCAUGCAUAGCCUCAGAAAUGACAGAAACUGAAGGAUGGCUCCAGAUGCCAGUAAGGACCAACCAGCAGGAGUUGGGGGCCUCAGCUCUCUGCUUGGGAGGCAGUAUUACCUUCUCAGCUUGUUUCUAUUCUGUUAUUUAUUCUUUAUGCAGCUUGAGCUCCUGACCUACUACUUGUUCUCUAUAUUUUCCCUUCUUCAGAGUUUCUGCUGACUCAUUUCUCAUAAUUUUGAUUUACAUAUAAUACCUUACAGUUAGAGGUGCUGUAAAACAAAAUGACCAUCAUAGUGUUUUGAUAUUUAGUUCAUGUAAUUUCAAAAUAGCUGUAUUGCACCAUUAUUAAUUUCAGUAUGUAUAAUAAAAAGCAAACUGGGAUUGCUGUCGACUUCUACAAAAAUCUUAUUUGUCCUACUUUUUGGAUUUGACCAAUGUAAGUAUAAUGCAUGCCACUUAUGUAAUUAUAAAUUUUCUAAGAGCCACAUUAAAAAAGUAAAAGAAACCUAAGACAUGUAUGAAAUUAAUAUUAAUACUGUAUUUUAAGCUAUAUCUAAAACUUUUUUCAAGAGAUGAUCCAUAUAAAACUAGUGAGGUAUAUUUUUAUUCUUUUAUUUGUACUAAGUUUUGGACAUCCAGCAGGUUCUUUACCCUUGUGACAGAUCUUAAUUUCGAUGAACCAUAUUGCAAGGGUUCAGUAGCCACAUAUGGUUGGAAGCUAUUCUAAAGAGCAAUACAGUUCCAUGUUGCAUAUCAGAUUCUGUUCCACUUGGGAGAAGACUAAAGCUAUUCGGGCUUUUUGGCUGGAGUAUCCCCAGGGCAAAUGAUUAGCAAAUACUGUCCUUGUUAAGAUAAAUAAUCAUGUCUGUGGUGCUUGAAAGAUGGCAGUGAUGAGAUCCUAAGAAGUGAAUUUGGUCUUAUGAGAAUAAAGGAGCAAAGAAGAAAAGGAACCCAUGCACAAGAGGAAAGGGGAUAGAUAGGCUUUAGGGAAAUAUCUAGUAAUUGGGCCUGGAGACCCCCGUACCACCUUUUCUCUGCCCUCUUUUCCCCCAAUCCCCUUAGCUAACCUUCCAGCUUUUUUCCCUAAGGUAACUGCUACCACCCUAAGCCAACCCUAGCAGAGAGUCCGGAGGUGACAAUGAACCCAAAUUAGUCCUCCUGGGUAUGAAAAUGGUUACUAAACAUAUGAGAAGAUGAUCACCUUGGAAAGAAGAACUGAAAAUAUCGACAAUAAAAUACGUGGGGAGGAAUUUAAACAAGGGAGAAAUCCAGUCAGAACACUUUCAGAGUGCCACAUGGUUCCAUGCAUCUCUUUGAAUAACUUUUAAAGUUUCAAAUGAUUCAGAUUUUAAAUAGUGGAAAUAAUGAUAUCAUGCACGAAAAAGACCUGUGUUUUGGUACUUAAAAUUUCAAGGUACCAUCAAUGUGGCUCAUAAAAAUGAUAUUACUAUUACAAAUUUCAGCCUCCCUGGCCUCUUUCUUGUUUCAACUUUUUUUUUUUUCCUUGUCUUUUUGCCUUUUCUAAGGCUGCUUCCGAGGCAUAUGGAGAUUCCCAGGCUAGGGGUCUAAUCGUUGCUGUAGCCACUGGCCUACGCCAGAACCACAGCAACUCAGGAUCUGAGCUGCGUCUGUGACCUAUACCGCAGCUCACAGCAACGCCGGAUCCUCAACCCACUGAGCAAGGCCAGGGAUCGAACCCGCAAUCUUAUGGUUCCUAGUCAGAUUCGUUAACCACUGCGCCACGAUGGGAACUCCUCUUGUUUCUUAUUGCUUAAGGAUACAUUCUCUCACUUUUUUUUUUUUUCCUUCAGACUCCUUAGUGAGAAAAAUCUUAUUUGUCUCACUUUUUUAAAAAAAGAUUUUUAUUUUUUCUAUUAUGGUUGACUUACAAUGUUCUGUUGCUACCUGCUGUACAGCGAAGUGACCCAGUCAAACAUAUAUAUAUACCUUCUUUUCCUCACAUUAUCCUCCAUCAUGUUCCAUCACAAGUGACUAGAUAUAGUUUUUGCACUUGAUCAAAUCAUCACUUGCUGGCCUGUUUCUGGAUGGACAAUUCUUGAGCCAGCUCAUCCCGUGGUUCCACCAGUUGUGGCCAGGAGAGAUAACGUGACCCUCUGCGGACAAGUAGGCACAGUAAACAAUAUUCUUAGAAUAUGUGUGCCCUGGACAAACUCGUGGUCAGCUGGCUGGCUGCUUUGCUUUCUUCAAGGAAGCACAGAUUAGUAGAAGGGAGUGUGGACUGGGGGAAUCACACUUCCUAGGUUCAAUUUUUGAUUUCAUCAAGAGCUAGCUGAAUGUACAUCAAUUUACUUAACCUCUCUGCAAACCUCUCCUCUCUCAUGGAAAUACUAAUCAUAUCAUUUUUUUUUAAUGGCUACCCUUGCAGCAUAUGGAAGUUCCUAGACCAGUGAUUGAAUCUGAGCCACAACUGUGACUUAUGCCACAGCUACGACAAUGCUGGAUUCCACUGUGCUGGAGUGGGAAUCAAAUUUCUGCAGUCACCCUCUAUAGCUGGAUUCUUUUUUUUUUUUUUUUUUUUUGUCUUUUUGCCAUUUCUUGGGCCACUCCCACGGUAUAUGGAGGUUCCCAGGCUAAGGGUUGAAUCGGAGCUGUAGCCACCGGCCUACGCCAGAGCCACAGCAACGCGGGAUCCG
rnacentral:lncRNA from 1 species